rnacentral:rRNA from 1 species
UACGUAGGGUGCAAGCGUUGUCCGGAAUUAUUGGGCGUAAAGAGCUCGUAGGCGGUCUGUCGCGUCGGCUGUGAAAACCCGGAGCUCAACUCCGGGCCUGCAGUCGAUACGGGCAGACUGGAGUUCGGCAGGGGAGACUGGAAUUCCUGGUGUAGCGGUGAAAUGCGCAGAUAUCAGGAGGAACACCGGUGGCGAAGGCGGGUCUCUGGGCCGAUACUGACGCUGUGGCGCGAAAGCUAGGGGAGCAAACGGG